rnacentral:rRNA from 1 species
AGAGUUUGAUCAUGGCUCAGAAUCAACGCUGGCGGCGCGCUUAACACAUGCAAGUCGCACGAGAAAGGGGAGCAAUCCCUGAGUAAAGUGGCGUACGGGUGAGUAACACGUGGAUCAUCUACCUUUUAGUGGGGAAUACCCCCGGGAAACUGGGGACAAUACCGCAUAAGCUCGUGAGAGGAAAGCAGCAAUGCGCUGAAAGAGGAGUCCGCGGCUGAUUAGCUAGUUGGUGAGGUAACGGCCCACCAAGGCGAAGAUCGGUAGCCGGCCUGAGAGGGCACACGGCCACACUGGCACUGAAAUACGGGCCAGACUCCUACGGGAGGCAGCAGUGGGGAAUCUUGCACAAUGGAGGAAACUCUGAUGCAGCGACGCCGCGUGAACGAUGAAGCCCUUCGGGGUGUAAAGUUCUUUCGACGGGAACGAUAAUGACGGUACCCGAAGAAGAAGCUGCGGCUAACUACGUGCCAGCAGCCGCGGUAAUACGUAGGCAGCAAGCGUUGUUCGGAAUUACUGGGCGUAAAGAGUGCGUAGGCGGUGCUCUAAGUCUGUUGUGAAAUCUCCCGGCUUAACUGGGAGGGUGCGGCGGAAACUGGAGUGCUUGAGGGUGGGAGAGGUAAGCGGAAUUCCUGGUGUAGCGGUGAAAUGCGUAGAUAUCAGGAGGAACACCUGUGGUGUAGACAGCUUACUGGACCACUUCUGACGCUGAGGCACGAAAGCGUGGGUAGCAAACAGGAUUAGAUACCCUAGUAGUCC